AGCAGUGCCGCGGGAAUACGAAGGGGGCUAGCGUUGUUCGGAAUUACUGGGCGUAAAGGGCGCGUAGGCGGCCAUUCAAGUUAGAUGUGAAAGCCCUGGGCUCAACCUAGGAAUUGCAUUUGAUACUGUUUGGCUUGAGUUCGGGAGAGGUGAGUGGAAUUCCCAGUGUAGAGGUGAAAUUCGUAGAUAUUGGGAAGAACACCAGUGGCGAAGGCGGCUCACUGGACCGACACUGACGCUGAGGCGCGAAAGCGUGGGGAGCAAACAGGAUUAGAGACCCCUGUAGUCCCUGUCUCUUAUACA
rnacentral:rRNA from 1 species